rnacentral:rRNA from 1 species
GGGUUGUGAGGUUAAGCGACUAAGCGUACACGGUGGAUGCCCUGGCAGUCAGAGGCGAUGAAGGACGUGCUAAUCUGCGAUAAGCGCCGGUAAGGUGAUAUGAACCGUUAUAACCGGCGAUUUCCGAAUGGGGAAACCCAGUGUGACUCGUCACACUAUCAUUAACUGAAUCCAUAGGUUAAUGAGGCGAACCGGGGGAACUGAAACAUCUAAGUACCCCGAGGAAAAGAAAUCAACCGAGAUUCCCCCAGUAG